UUAUUUUUUUUCUAUUUGUAAUUCAAUAUCGCCAACCUCACUACGGGAUGCCAGAAGAAGCUAGAAAUCGACGAUGAUCAGAAACUGUAAGUUUCCUUGCUUAUCUCUUUAUAUAUUAUAUGCUUAUCUUUCAAUUUUCUUAAGCUUUAUUUUUGAAAUGUUUUAUUCCAAAAUAAUCAGCAUUUGUAGCCAAUUUUUACUUACUGUGGUAUAAACUAAUAUCAAGCACUUUGCUUGACGAAUGCAAUUUUAUUCAUCGCAAUGGGGGUUUUUGAUUUGUUUUCUUUUCGUCAGAUCUUUGUAAGAAUUCGGUUGAUGGGUUCUCUGUCGGAUUGGUUGAUGAAAAAAAUAUCUUUGAAUGGAGUGUUACAAUUAUUGGACCACCUGAUACUCUUUAAAUUUGAAUCAUAAAAACAUUGUCAAGUAUCUUGGAUCAUUGAAGACAACAACUCACCUACAUAUAAUUCUUGAGUAUGUGGAGAAUGGUUCACUUGCAAACAUUAUCAAGCCAAAUAAAUUUGGGCCUUUUCCUGAAUCAUUGGUGGUUGUUUAUAUUGCC